rnacentral:misc_RNA from 1 species
UCCGGUUCCUCACCAGCAGUCUCCUUAGAGUCCCCAACUUCACUCGAUGGUAACUAAGGACAAGGGUUGCGCUCGUUACGGGACUUAACCCAACAUCUCACAACACGAGCUGACGACAGCCAUGCAGCACCUGUCUCUGCGUUCCUUUCGGCACAGCAACUUCUCAGUCGCCUUCUCAGGAUGUCAAGAGUAGGUAAGGUUCUUCGCGUUGCAUCGAAUUAAACCACAUGCUCCACCGCUUGUGCGGGCCCCCGUCAAUUCCUUUGAGUUUCAACCUUGCGGCCGUACUUCCCAGGCGGAAGACUUAUCGCGUUAGCUUCGAUACUAUUAGGUCUCCCCAACAACAUCUAGUCCUCAUCGUUUACAGCGUGGACUAC